CGGAGGAAAAGAAACUAACAAGGAUUCCCUCAGUAGCGGCGAGCGAAGCGGGAAAAGCCCAGGAUGAAAAUCUCUUCGGAGAGUUGUAGUCUGAGUCGCCUUGGGCGGUCAGUGUGGGUAAGUCGUCUGGAAAGACGUGCCGUGGAGGGUGAGAGCCCCGUCCAGCCCACACAGGACGCGCCCGCACGAGGUGGCUUCAACCGAGUCGGGUAGCUUGGGAAUGCUGCUCUAAAUGGUGGUAAAUCUCAUCAAAGGCUAAAUACGGGUGGGAGACCGAUAGCGAACAAGUACCGUGAGGGAAAGAUGGAAAGAACUUUGAAAAGAGAGUGAAAAGCGCUUGAAACCGUCACGGGGGAAGCGGAUUGCGUCAGUGGAUGGUGUGCGCGGUUCAGGCCAUGCGUUGUGCAUGGGUGCAUUCUGCGCGGGCCAGGCGUGCGUGGCCGGCGGGCUGUGUGAUGCGCAAGCGACACGGGCGCUGGUGAGGGCUCCCCGGUUGGGUGAGGACGCACGCGAAAGGGCGCGAUACGACCCGUCUUGAAACACGGACCAAGGAGUCUAGCAUGGGUGCGAGUCGAAGGGUGAUGAAACCCGGGGGGCGCAGUGAAAGCGAGAGCGAUAAGCAAAUUGGGGAGGCGUUGCGGUUUUACCAAAGCGUCCUACCUUGAGCAGCCAUGCUGGGACCCGAAAGAUGGUGAACUAUGCUUGAGUAGGGCAAAGCCAGAGGAAACUCUGGUGGAGGCUCGUAGCGAUGCUGACGUGCAAAUCGCUCGUCGAACUUGGGUAUAGGGGCGAAAGACUAAUCGAACCAUCUAGUAGCUGGUUCCCUCCGAAGUUUCUCUCAGGAUAGCGGGCCGACUGGACGUUGUUUUGUGCGGUAAAGCGAAUGAUUAGUGCAAUUGGGGGCCGAAGGCCUUCGGGCGAUUCUCAAACUUUAAAUGCGCAAGGGAGUGGCUGCUUGGCUGAGCUUGCUCUCCUAAAAACGUCGGCUCCGUGGGCCACUUUUGGUAAGCAGAACUGGCGAUAAGGGAUGAACCUUAAGCGCGGUUAAGGCGCCGCAUUGUCCGCUUAUAGAGCCCACAAAAGGUGUUGAUUCAUCCAGACAGCAGGACGGUGGCCAUGGAAGUCGGAAUCCGCUAAGGAGUGUGUAACAACUCACCUGCCGAAUGAAUUAGCCCUGAAAAUGGAUGGCGCUGAAGCGGGCAGCCGACACCGCGCCGUUCGUGUGAAAAUGGUGGUACGCGAAUGAGUAGGAGGGCGUGGCGGUCCGUGAAGCAGGCGUGGGUGCGAACCCCGCUGAAACGGCCGCUAGUGAAGAUCUUGGUGGUAGUAGCAAAUAUUCAAGCGGGAACCUUGAAGGGCGAAGCGGGGAAGGGUUCCACGCGAACAAUGAUUGGGCGUGGGUGAGUCGUUCCUAAGCCGAGUGUUAAUGGCUAACGGUAUGCGGCGAAAGGGAAGCGGGUUAAAAUUCCCGCACACGGAUAUGGAAAUGUGAAAGCGGCGACGCAAGCAGACGCGGAGACGCCGGCGAGUGCGCUGGGCAGAGUUGUCUUUUCUGUUUGACCGGCAUCGCGCGGUGUGGAAUCCGAUUAUCGGGAGAAACACGCGCGGGGAGGGGCAGAGCGCCGGGCUUUUCCGGCGUCCANCU
rnacentral:rRNA from 1 species